rfam:Otolemur garnettii contig016745, whole genome shotgun sequence.
UUCUCAAGCUCAAGGAGUGAGUGAUGGAGUCAGUUGCCAGCUGUAGUUACGCUGCUCCAUGCAGAAUGGCUGCAGGGAAUAUAUUCAGACAUGCCCCAAGAAGUCUGCUCAGGGUGACACAAAUACCUUUGAGGU